rnacentral:rRNA from 1 species
GACGAACGCUGGCGGCGUGCCUAAUACAUGCAAGUUGAGCGCUGAAGGUUGGUACUUGUACCAAAUGGAUGAGCAGCGAACGGGUGAGUAACGCGUGGGGAAUCUGCCUUUGAGCGGGGGACAACAUUUGGAAACGAAUGCUGAUACCGCAUAAAAACUUUAAACACAAGUUUUAAGUUUGAAAGAUGCAAUUGCAUCACUCAAAGAUGAUCCCGCGUUGUAUUAGCUAGUUGGUGAGGUAAAGGCUCACCAAGGCGAUGAUACAUAGCCGACCUGAGAGGGUGAUCGGCCACAUUGGGACUGAGACACGGCCCAAACUCCUACGGGAGGCAGCAGUAGGGAAUCUUCGGCAAUGGACGAAAGUCUGACCGAGCAACGCCGCGUGAGUGAAGAAGGUUUUCGGAUCGUAAAACUCUGUUGGUAGAGAAGAACGUUGGUGAGAGUGGAAAGCUCAUCAAGUGACGGUAACUACCCAGAAAGGGACGGCUAACUACGUG